GAUGAAGAACGCAGCGAAAUGCGAUAAGUAAUGUGAAUUGCAGAAUUCAGUGAAUCAUCGAAUCUUUGAACGCACAUUGCGCCCGUCAGUAUUCUGGCGGGCAUGCCUGUUCGAGCGUCAUUACGCCCCUCAAGUCCCCUGUGGACUUGGUGUUGGGGAUCGGCGAGGCUGGUUUUCCAGCACAGCCGUCCCUUAAAUUAAUUGGCGGUCUCGCCGUGGCCCUCCUCUGCGCAGUAGUAGAACACUCGCAACAGGAGCCCGGCGCGGUCCACUGCCGUAAAACCCCCCAACUUUUUAUAGUUGACCUCGAAUCAGGUAGGACUACCCGCUGAACUUAAGCAUAUCAAUAAGCGGAGGA
rnacentral:misc_RNA from 1 species